rnacentral:rRNA from 1 species
UACGUAGGGGGCUAGCGUUGUUCGGAAUUACUGGGCGUAAAGCGCGCGCAGGCGGCUUUCCAAGUCAGUGGUGAAAGCCCGGAGCUCAACUCCAGAAUUGCCAUUGAAACUGUAAAGCUUGAGUACGAGAGAGGUGAGUGGAAUUCCCAGUGUAGAGGUGAAAUGCGUAGAUAUUGGGAAGAACACCGGUGGCGAAGGCGGCUCACUGGCUCGUUACUGACGCUCAGGCGCGACAGCGUGGGGAGCAAACAGG